UACGUAGGGUCCGAGCGUUAAUCGGAAUUACUGGGCGUAAGGCGUGCGCAGGCGGUUUUGUAAGCCAGAUGUGAAAUCCCCGGGCUUAACCUGGGAACUGCAUUUGGGACUGCAAGGCUUGAGUACAGCAGAGGGGGGUAGAAUUCCUGGUGUAGCAGUGAAAUGCGUAGGAUAAUCAGGAGGGAAUACCGAUGGCGAAGGCAGCCCCCUGGGUUGAUACUGACGCUCAUGC
rnacentral:rRNA from 1 species